rnacentral:rRNA from 1 species
AUUGAACGCUGGCGGAAUGCUUUACACAUGCAAGUCGAACGGCAGCACGGACUUCGGUCUGGUGGCGAGUGGCGAACGGGUGAGUAAUACAUCGGAACGUGCCCAGUCGUGGGGGAUAACGUAGCGAAAGCUACGCUAAUACCGCAUACGAUCUAAGGAUGAAAGCGGGGGAUCGCAAGACCUCGCGCGAUUGGAGCGGCCGAUGGCAGAUUAGGUAGUUGGUAGGGUAAAGGCCUACCAAGCCGACGAUCUGUAGCUGGUCUGAGAGGGAUGAUCAGCCACACUGGGACUGAGACACGGCCCAGACUCCUACGGGAGGCAGCAGUGGGGAAUUUUGGACAAUGGGCGCAAGCCUGAUCCAGCCAUUCCGCGUGCAGGAUGAAGGCCUUCGGGUUGUAAACUGCUUUUGUACGGAACGAAAAGGCUCUGGUUAAUACCCGGGGCUCAUGACGGUACCGUAAGAGUAAGCACCGGCUAACUCCGUGCCAGCAGCCGCCGUAAAAC